rfam:Helianthus annuus linkage group 5, whole genome shotgun sequence.
GGUCGCGCAGUGAAUACAAAGCGAAGUAUUCUUUCGCCUUUUACUAAAGAAUACCGUGUAUUCGCUGCAUCAAAGUGGCAUACACCUAUUUUUGGAGAGACCCUUCAACAACUAAAGGGC